GUUGCCCGUCAUCUCUCCUUGCCCAUGCGUCGUUCUUCUAUUUUCCGAUGGUCUCCUCCCAGUCCCAGAUAUGUUUCCCAAGUGCUCAUGUCUCUGCCUUCGGGUUUUAGGAGUUCACAGGUACAAAUGGUGAGGCCAAAUAGACAUGAACGUACGGAUAGCCAGAGAUGCUGAUCUGCAUCUGCCCAGCAAGAACAGCCAAGGACCAACUUGAAUUGACCAAGGAGGACAAAAAGACAAGCCCAGCCGGCAGCCCACAUAGCCUCACGCCCUCACCUCUUACUCUCU